GGGACAGGCAGAAGAAUAAGACGAUCAGAAAAACACCAGGGAUGCAGAAGUCAUCUGGUCACUGACCCCACAAGGAAGAAAGAUGUCAUGGGCAGAGGACAGGACCACUGAUGAAGCCAGUCUCUGAGUCUACCCCAGGAGAAGAAUUAGGCUCCCCAUCUUCAGGAGAGCAGCAAAGAACUUGCAGAUCUUUCUUAAAACCACAGAGACCUCGAUAAAGGAAAAGUAACUGGGCUCUCAUACAAGAAGCUGGUCCAGAGUUGGAGAAAGAGAAGCCAUUCCUGCUGGGCGCGGUGGCUCAUGCCUGUAAUCCCAGCACUUUGAGAGGCCGAGGCAAGCAGAUCACCUGAGGUCAGGAGUUCGAGA
rnacentral:lncRNA from 10 species